ACACAUGCAAGUCGAGGGGCAGCAUGAACUUAGCUUGCUAAGUUUGAUGGCGACCGGCGCACGGGUGAGUAACACGUAUCCAACCUGCCGAUGACUCGGGGAUAGCCUUUCGAAAGAAAGAUUAAUACCCGAUGGCAUAAUUCUUCCGCAUGGUAGAAUUAUUAAAGAAUUUCGGUCAUCGAUGGGGAUGCGUUCCAUUAGGUUGUUGGCGGGGUAACGGCCCACCAAGCCUUCGAUGGAUAGGGGUUCUGAGAGGAAGGUCCCCCACAUUGGAACUGAGACACGGUCCAAACUCCUACGGGAGGCAGCAGUGAGGAAUAUUGGUCAAUGGACGAGAGUCUGAACCAGCCAAGUAGCGUGAAGGAUGACUGCCCUAUGGGUUGUAAACUUCUUUUAUACGGGAAUAAAGUGAGGCACGUGUGCCUUUUUGUAUGUACCGUAUGAAUAAGGAUCGGCUAACUCCGUGCCAGCAGCCGCGGUAAUACGGAGGAUCCGAGCGUUAUCCGGAUUUAUUGGGUUUAAAGGGAGCGUAGGCGGACGCUUAAGUCAGUUGUGAAAGUUUGCGGCUCAACCGUAAAAUUGCAGUUGAUACUGGGUGUCUUGAGUACAGUAGAGGCAGGCGGAAUUCGUGGUGUAGCGGUGAAAUGCUUAGAUAUCACGAAGAACUCCGAUUGCGAAGGCAGCUUGCUGGACUGUAACUGACGCUGAUGCUCGAAAGUGUGGGUAUCAAACAGGAUUAGAUACCCUGGUAGUCCACACAGUAAACGAUGAAUACUCGCUGUUUGCGAUAUACAGUAAGCGGCCAAGCGAAAGCGUUAAGUAUUCCACC
rnacentral:rRNA from 1 species